UACGAAGGGGGCUAGCGUUGCUCGGAAUCACUGGGCGUAAAGCGCACGUAGGCGGAUUGUUAAGUCAGGGGUGAAAUCCUGGAGCUCAACUCCAGAACUGCCUUUGAUACUGGCGAUCUCGAGUCCGGGAGAGGUGAGUGGAACUGCGAGUGUAGAGGUGAAAUUCGUAGAUAUUCGCAAGAACACCAGUGGCGAAGGCGGCACACUGCCCGGUACUGACGCUGAGGUGCGAAAGCGUGGGGAGCAAACAGG
rnacentral:rRNA from 1 species